rnacentral:misc_RNA from 1 species
GAUGAAGAACGUAGCGAAAUGCGAUAAGUAGUGUGAAUUGCAGAAUUCAGUGAAUCAUCGAAUCUUUGAACGCACAUUGCGCCCACUAGUAUUCUGGUGGGCAUGCCUGUUCGAGCGUCAUUUCAACCCUCAAGCCUUAGUUGCUUGGUGUUGGGAGCUUAUCUUGCCGAAAGGCGGACAACUCCUUAAAACUAUUGGCGGAGUCGCGGUGACCCCAAGCGUAGUAAAUCUUUUUUUUCUCGCUUUAGGUGUUAACGCUGGCUUUCUAGCCGUUAAACCCUCUAAAUUUUUAGUGGUUGACCUCGGAUCAGGUAGGACUACCCGCUGAACUUAAGCAUAUCAAUAAGCGGAGGA